rnacentral:lncRNA from 1 species
GUUCCUGGGAAGGUCUGGCUGCUUCCCCACCACGAGCUGAGCUGGGACAAGUGGCUUCACACCACUGGGUCUCGCAGCCUGUUCCUUCCUUCACUCCGCGGUGCUCUGCGGGAGAGCACGACAUUUCCCUGAAAAGAGGAGGGCUCUCUCCCGUGGCAUCCCUGAUUCCUCUCAAUGGCCCUUGGUGAACUAGGACAUGCUUCUUG